GAAUGAUAAAUAUAGGAGUAUAAGGUAAAACUUUCCACAAGUUAGGUAUCAGAAUUCCCAGGUCCAAACGCGAUGAGCAGCGUGAACAAUCUUCUCCAAUUGAGCUCCAUGAUUCUCACCCCCGCAUCUCGAAAUUUAAUCGAAGUUUGAAGCAAAAAUCAAAUCCUACUGGGAUGCAUCCAUCACGAUUUUGAAUCCAUCGUUCACGUCCGAACUCCAUUGAAGGUGAAUAGCAAAUGGCACACUAGAGGGAAACAAAUCAAGUAAUGCAGUUGAGCUAAGAGGCAUGGAAGAAAACUUAUGGUGAAUGAAUUCUAGCGCGAUGGCUAAGGUGAUGAGUUCGUUGUUCUUCAAUCUUCGUGUUCCGCCGUUGUCGUUCGUUCUUUGAUUUGUGCCAUUGAUGAUGAAGAAGGCGUGAUGAUCGAUGUUGAUUCGUAGUGAAGCAUUGCGUUGAAUUACCAAUGAGUCUGUGAUGAUGAUCAAAUUAUGAAAAGGUGAGAUCACGUUUCUGUUUUUGAAUUGCAAUGCCUUAUUUCCCUUUUUUAUGUUUGGAACCUCUCAGAAUUUUCUUAUGUUUUCCCCGGAAGUUUGUUAUAAAUCCCCUGCUAUAUGUUUCCGCCUUCUUCUUCUAUCUCUGAUACGCCCAGCUCUGAGCUUUACUGUUGUGUGCUUCUUGGAUUUGUUGAGAAUUGUUUUUUUGGAGUUCUGUUUCGAUCAGUUUUUUGUAGUUAGGAGGAUGGAUUGAUUCUGUUAGAAAAAAAUGGUGAAGGGUCCUUGAAGGUUUCCAAAGUUGCAGUUCGGUUCUGUUAGGUUGAUAUGGGGAGUUAACAAAGUUUGUUGAGAAAUUGGUUAUAUCAGUUUUGUUUUUGUUGAAACAGGGUGGUUAGAAAUUGUUGAGAAGUUUUUGGAGGUUUAUUGAAGUUGAGGGUUACAGGGUUGUUCAAUGAAUUGGAGAUGUUCAAAUUUUGUUAUGGUGGUUGAAAAGUUUUGAUUACGGUUAGUUAUAAGUUGAAGAAGUUGUGAAGAAGCGGUUAGGUGGUUUUGAAGGUUUCUACGAGGGUUCUGUUUUUGGAGUUGGUUCUGCAGAGUUGUUAGUGACAGUUAGAUGAGGUUUUUUUAGUUUGGAGUUAGAAGAGUUGGGAAUUUAGAAGUGCGAAUUCGGUUACGAUCUUGUUGCGUUAUUGCUCUUGGUUAUCCUCACAAUUCUCUUUUUGCCCUUUCUGUUACAGGUUUAUUUUUUAGAGUGGUUAUGGUUCGGUUGCAAAGUGAAGUUGGAAUUGGUUGAAGCUUGCUUGGAAUCUUGGAUUUAAUAGCUAUUCUUGGAAUUGGAUGAUGGAAUGCAAUGAAACUGUUUUGGACUUUUUCGCAUUGGCUCAUGUUGUAUAAUUGUAGGAUUUAUGUAGAAAAAUAUGUUGUAAACUUAGAAUAUGUAUGAAUGUAGUUAUGGAAUUUUGUAUGAGAUUAUUGAUUUUGAAAUAUGAUGAAAUGGUUGUAAUGGUUUGAAUUGUAUUGUAGACUAAUUUGGAAAUUGAAAUGGUAAUGAUUUAUAAAUGGUUUUGGCUUAUUAUGGAAAUGGUUAUGGGUGAUGUGAUGGUUUAUGUAACUUGAAUUUGUGAUUUUGGAAGUGUAAUGUAAUUUGGAAUUUGAAUGAAAGGAAUUGAAAUAUGAUGGUAAAAAGGUUUGAAAAUAGGACAGAUUCACGUAGGUCCAAAUGUCCGUUGGUCUAAAAGACGGUCCAUUUGUUGGUCCAACCUUGA
rnacentral:lncRNA from 1 species